rnacentral:rRNA from 1 species
UACGGGGGGGGCAAGCGUUGUUCGGAAUUACUGGCGUAAAGGGCUCGUAGGCGGCCAACUAAGUCAGACGUGAAAUCCCUCGGCUUAACCGGGGAACUGCGUCUGAUACUGGAUGGCUUGAAUCCGGGAGAGGGAUGCGGAAUUCCAGGUGUAGCGGUGAAAUGCGUAGAUAUCUGGAGGAACACCGGUGGCGAAGGCGGCAUCCUGGACCGGCAUUGACGCUGAGGAGCGAAAGCCAGGGGAGCAAACGGG